rnacentral:rRNA from 1 species
AGGACGAACGCUGGCGGCACGCUUAACACAUGCAAGUCGAACGGAGUUAUCGAGAGCCUGCUUUGAUAACUUAGUGGCGGACGGGUGAGUAACACGUGAGCAAUCUGCCCUUAAGAGGGGGAUAGCAGUUGGAAACGACUGAUAAUACCGCAUAAGAUAGUAGUACCGCAUGGUACAGCUAUAAAAGAUUUAUCGCUUAAGGAUGAGCUCGCGUCUGAUUAGCUAGUUGGUGAGGUAACGGCUCACCAAGGCAACGAUCAGUAGCCGGACUGAGAGGUUGGACGGCCACAUUGGGACUGAGACACGGCCCAGACUCCUACGGGAGGCAGCAGUGGGGAAUAUUGCACAAUGGAGGAAACUCUGAAUGCAGCGAUGCCGCGUGAGGGAAGAAGGUUUUAGGAUUGUAAACCUCUGUUGACAGGGACGAUAAUGACGGUACCUGUUGAGGAAACUCCGGCUAACUACGUGCCAGCCGCCGC